rnacentral:rRNA from 1 species
UACGGAAGGGGCAAGCGUUGUUCGGAAUCAUUGGGCGUAAAGGGCGCGUAGGCGGUCUUGUUUGUCUGCUGUGAAAGUCCACGGCUCACCCGUGGAGAGUCGGUGGAAACGGCAAGACUUGAGGCUGGGAGGGGUUGGUGGAAUUCCCUGUGUAGCGGUGAAAUGCGUAGAUACGGGGGAGAACACUCGUGGCGAAGGCGGCCAGCUGGCCCAGUCCUGACGCUGAGGCGCGACAGCGUGGGGAGCAAACAGG